GUGGGGAAUCUUGCGCAAUGGGCGAAAGCCUGACGCAGCCAUGCCGCGUGGAUGAUGAAGGUCUUAGGAUUGUAAAAUCCUUUCACCGGUGAAGAUAAUGACGGUAACCGGAGAAGAAGCCCCGGCUAACUUCGUGCCAGCAGCCGCGGUAAUACGAAGGGGGCUAGCGUUGUUCGGAAUUACUGGGCGUAAAGCGCACGUAGGCGGACAUUUAAGUCAGGGGUGAAAUCCCGGGGCUCAACCCCGGAACUGCCUUUGAUACUGGGUGUCUGGAGUAUGGAAGAGGUAAGUGGAAUUCCGAGUGUAGAGGUGAAAUUCGUAGAUAUUCGGAGGAACACCAGUGGCGAAGGCGGCUUACUGGUCCAUUACUGACGCUGAGGUGCGAAAGCGUGGGGAGCAAACAGGAUUAGAUACCACUGUAGUCC
rnacentral:rRNA from 1 species